rnacentral:sRNA from 1 species
GUUUUUUUUCUGUUUUUG